GCCCGUUUAGAGCAGUGGUUAGCUCGCCGGCCUCCGGACCUGGUUCCUGAUAGCCGGAAACUCGGGUUCGAAUCCCGGAGCGGGUG